rnacentral:lncRNA from 1 species
AUGAUAUGCACUUUAUUCCAUUUUCCUCUUCACGCGAAAUCAUUCCGACUUCCAUCUACUGAGGAUAAUACAGAUUUUCAACUAUCCAUGUGGAAUGACCAAUUUAUUUCAUGUUAUAUAAGCAAUUUGUAGCUUGCCAAAUCAAUAACACAUUUAUGACUUUCCAAACCAUGGCCGAUCUAAAAUCACAGCCGUGCCAACAACAAUGGUCAUAUAU